AGAUCUGGAGACGCACAUCUCCGAUCAAAUGAAUAAAUUUUCCCAGUCGCUGAUCUCCGAAAAAAAAAAGAUUGAGUGCGUUGAUUGAAGAACUGCAAACCAAGAUUGGGAAGCUACCAUUCUCAGCCAACGGGUACCUCGUGAAGAGGAUAUAUGGAAGUGACCUAACAAAGCACAUCAAAAUCGGGACCAGGGUCGUGCGUGGUACAGACUGGAAUCGUGGUGACGAGGACGGCGGUGGCCCAGGCACCGUGAUGAAGAGUUACGGGGAUACGGACAAUACGGUGUCGGUCAAUUGGGACAAUGGCUUGUCGUACUACGGCUAUCGUAUUGGUGAAGAAGGCAAAUACGAUCUGUUAAUAUUAGCAGAUGGACAAUAACUGCCCAUGUCAUCUACUAAUUAUGGACUUAUUUAGCGAGUUCUUUAUAUAGUUUGUAUCUGAUUAAGCCGUUGAUUGAACCGCACAACGUUGUAACUUAAACGGAAAUACAUUUACCUAUGCUUUAUUAAGAAUGUUUUAUCACACCUGGUCAAGAAUUGAUAAACAACCAGACAUUUGUCGAGUGAGGAAUUACCACUGAGAGCAUUCAUUCUCACAAUUUUGUAUCAAAAAGUAUUUACUAUUGGUGUAUGCUUUUUUUUUCACAAACAUUUGAAACAUUUUAUAGUUGCAAAUAAUAUUACAGCAAAUAACGUCAGCAGCUGAGACAAACAACGAGCACCGAUUGAUGAUGUCACCAUGAUUUGUACACAACAACAUUUAACACAAACUUAAAACUUCAUUUAAAAUAAUUACUUUUUCAAAAAAUAUGUCAACGAUAAUGUAAAUAUGUUAAUGAUUGAUAUUAAGUGUGGCUCUUGGAACGCCUUUAAAACUUUUUGAACUUCGGCCCGUACUGUAACUCAAAUACAUGCAUUAUGUCAUUAAUUCAAGACUUCAUUCCCUUGCUACUCUGCUGGUAGAUUUUUAGACUGGCAUUCAUGGCUGAAAACAAUGGUACGG